GGGGCGGGGGCGGGAAGAGUGGGGGCGGCAUGAGGGCCGGUGGCCCGGGAGGCUGAGGCGCCCGCCGCCUGCCGCGAGGCCGCGCGCGUCCUCCAUGGAGGCCGGAGAGCCUCCAUGGUGUCAAAAGGAUGGAUAAUGUGCAUGUUAUGGAGGAAGUGACCCAAGUUAUCAGGAUGGAAUACAGAAAUUUUCAUCCAGAGAAACCACUGCUGCUGGCCGAACUCAAGCCUGGGCGCCCCCAACAGUUUGAUUGGAAGUCGAGUUGUGAAACCUGGAGUGUGGCCUUCUCCCCAGAUGGCUCCUGGUUCGCGUGGUCUCAAGGACACUGCAUUGUCAAGCUGCUCCCCUGGCCGCUGGAGGAGCAAUUCAUCCCCAAAGGGUUUGAAGCCAAAAGCCGAAGCAGCAAGAAUGAUUCAAAAGGGCAAGGCAGCUCCAAGGAGAAGACUCUGGACUGUGGGCAGAUUGUCUGGGGCUUGGCCUUUAGCCCGUGGCCUUCUCCACCCAGCAGGAAGCUCUGGGCACGCCACCAUCCCCAAGUGCCAGACGUCUCUUGCCUGAUCCUUGCCACGGGCCUCAACGAUGGGCAGAUCAAGAUUUGGGAGGUGCAGACAGGGCUGCUGCUUUUGACUCUUUCCGGCCACCAAGAUGUCGUGAGAGAUUUGAGCUUCACACCCAGUGGCAGUCUGAUUUUGGUCUCUGCAUCUCGGGAUAAGACUCUUCGCAUCUGGGACCUGAAGAAACAUGGUAAACAGAUUCAGGUGUUAUCGGGCCACCUGCAGUGGGUUUACUGCUGCUCCAUCUCCCCGGACUGCAGCAUGCUGUGCUCUGCGGCUGGAGAGAAGUCGGUCUUCCUGUGGAGCAUGCGGUCCUACACAUUAAUCCGGAAGCUAGAGGGCCACCAAAGCAGUGUUGUCUCUUGUGAUUUCUCCCCCGACUCUGCCUUGCUUGUAACGGCUUCUUACGAUACCAGCGUGAUCAUGUGGGACCCCUACACUGGCGAGAGGCUGAGGUCACUCCGCCACACCCAGCUCGACCCCCGUGUGGAUGACAGUAAUGUCCACAUCAGCUCUCUGAGGUCUGUGUGCUUCUCGCCCGAGGGCCUGUACCUUGCCACAGUGGCGGAUGACAGACUCCUCAGGAUCUGGGCCCUGGAACGAAAAACUCCAAUAGCAUUCGCUCCUAUGACCAAUGGUCUUUGCUGCACAUUUUUCCCACAUGGUGGAGUUAUUGCCACAGGAACGAGGGAUGGCCACGUCCAGUUCUGGACAGCUCCUCGGGUCCUGUCAUCACUGAAGCACUCAUGCCGGAAAGCCCUUCGAAGUUUCCUGACAACCUACCAAGUGCUAGCACUGCCAAUCCCCGAGAAAAUGAAAGGGUUCCUCACGUACAGGACUUUCUAAGCAACACGGCCGUCCUAUACUUGCUUUCUUUCUAGCAGGAUAAAAUCUUCCUGGCAAAAGAAUAGCUGGCAUAAUGGGCCAAACAUCUGUUCUUGGAUUGAAAUAGAAGUUGUCUUUGGGAUUGUGAAUAGAAUGUAGCAAAACCAGAUUCUAGUGGGCUAAUCGUGGAUCUUUCUCCUUGACACGUGAAAAGCAGUCACCAAGGGGAUUCCACUUCAGUGGCAGCAGAGCCUUACACCUUCAGUCCACUUAGAAACAGCAAUGUUGAACUCGCUCUAGUCCUUCUGACUCACAGUACGGUUACUGAGUAUGUUUUGAUAAGAGUAAGAGGGCCUCAAGAGCCUCUGUGUAGUGGCAGAGAAGUUGACGCUCCCUCAGCUGGGAAGUGUGGCUUCUGCCUAGGACUUACCAUGUGUUUCAGACAUAGUGGUGGCAUUGUGAGAACCCCUGUCCUGCUGGGUCAGUGAUGCUGGCAAGCGCUUUCCUUCCUCUGGCUCCCCUCGGACCAGCAGGACAGUUCAUGGCGCCAUCUGAGAAGAGGUAUUAGCUUAACUAAAUGACAGGUGACUCAGAGGCUGUACUCCAGGCUGAUUAAGACACUAUGAUUGGCUUUUUUUUAACAAUGGUGUAUGCAUGUGCAGGAGAUGACAAAUCUGUGUGUCAGGUUACCCAAGGAUGUGUCCCUAACCUGCAUGACUGUUUAAAUGGCUACUGAGCUGUUGGUUGUCUGCCAUUUGUAGCCUAUUUAUUUGUAUUUUCUCAACAGAUGUUAAGGUACAACUGUGUUUUUCUUGAUGGUAUCUAAAAACCAUAGUACUUGUUGAACAGUUGUGAAGAUGUCUCUUCUUAAUUAUGUAAACAGUUGUCCCUUCAGCUGAUUUUCUUGUGGACGAGAUGAUCUGAUUUUGCUGCUUCACCUCAUUGGACUCAUCAGCCAGUUUCAGCUCUACCCCUAAACAAAAAUAGCCCCUUACAAGUACUGUUCUGCUUCAGUGGUGUGUAGUUACUAAUCAAGACACCUCAUUCAGACAAGUCUGCCUUUGGAAAUUUAAUAUAUUUAUUUUAAAAGAAAUGCAACAUCAUAUCCUUUGGCUUUCUUAAUAGGUGCUUUAUGGAGGUCAGUGUAAUAUUAUAAAACCUGUUGAAAAAGUAGAGGAGUCUCUCCUCUGCCACCUUUGUUGCUGAAGAAAAGCAUUUCAAGAUGAGAGGCUUUCACAGAAGGAUAAGGUCAGUUUGGCUCGCCAUUUUUUUAUCCUAAGGAAAAAAACCUUUUAAAAUGAGUGCAGCAGGACAGCUGGGAAUGGGUUGGGCAUAUUUGUACAGUUAUCUGGAAAUGACACACACAGCAUAGGCUGAGGCUCUGGGUGCUACCAGGAAGCCCUGUGUGGCUCUGCCGGUGUCCUGGGGGAGCAAGUCCUGUGUGAAUGCCGGGAGUAACAAAUCUCUUUCGAUAGUAUAAGAAUUUGAUGCCUUUAUACAGAACAGACUCCAAAGAAAGACUGUUCUGUGAUACCAGAGAUGGAGGAGCUUUUUCAUGUAAGAUCAGGUUAAGUAAGUGCCUGUAAAACUGGCUAAGGAAAGAAGUCACUUGUAACAGUCCACAAGCAAGCCGCUUUAUUUUUAUGGUGAAGAGUGCUAUCACACAUGCAGCAGAAUCACUGUGAAAUAAACGGCUAUGUUGGUACUGAAGUCCUGACCCUUUCAGCAGCUGGCAGGUGAGUCAGGCUUACCCUACUAACCUGCCCUUCCUGCCCCAGAGGAGUGUGGCACCACAUCUGGCCCCAGGGGGCGCAAGCGAAAGUGAAAGUGCUCUCUGUUCACACCAUAAUCAGGAACCUGCUAGUAAUCCUUGGACUUAAAAAGGAGAAAUAAAAAGACCAGUUUUUAAGAGAAUUGAGGUUAUUUUAUAAGAGUAUAAUAGUUUAGGCCAGAAAUCCAUUAACACCUAUUUAAACUAGAUUCAGAGAUGGUGCCACAAAUUAGUUUUCUAAACUUUGGAGAUUUCUAAUUUCGGAGAUGUUUGGUUUACCCUAAGGUGGAAGACAUUUGGACCGUAUUAGAUCUGGAAGCCUUCUCUUCCAGACCAAAAUGGGAUAGGCCAACUUCCUGUUACCUAAGCAACUUAAAGGGAAAACCUUAAGGCUGAAAAAAAGAAUUUCUGCCUCUGUUUCCCCCUCUAAAACCAUGGGUAUAGUGCAGUAAGAGAGUUGUACAUUAAAAUGGUUGUGUACAUUCCUGCUCCAAACAGUACUUUUCAAACAUUUGCGGGUUUCAGGAGACUGAGGAUGACUGUGGCUUCAUCCCCUGGGUUGGGCGGCAGUUCAUCCUGUGACUGAGUCCCCUGUUCUCCAGUCAUUGUGGGGUCUGAGGACCAGUGAGUGGUCCUGGGCAUCUAGGCCUCCGUGACAAUCAGGUCUCUGGUGACCUGAAAAGCAGCAAUGAGGGAACUCAGCUGAAUCUUCUCAUUGGUGCCAACAGAAAGUCUGUACCUAAAGGAGUGAAACGAAAAAUAAGACUAGAAAAUAUCACCAGCAGCAGCCUCCUGCAAGAAAAAAGAUCAAAGAUGGCAAAUCCACUGAAGGACACCUUUUAAGUGUCCAGUCAUUGAAAGCAACAUCAUGAUAUUCACAACAUAGUGUGGUGUGCCAAAAUGCCCUAAGAGCUAGAGAGCUGGUUGUCCCUGAACAACCUAGGGGUCUCAACUGAAGCACACCUUCCAAGGAACAAGACUGUUUCCAGAACCAAUGUGGACCAAGGUGUUGGGGUCUCAAGGAGGGGCUUUUAUCUCAAAUACAUAACUGAGCUUGCUUGUUUUUA